rnacentral:rRNA from 1 species
GACGAACGCUGGCGGCGUGCUUAACGCAUGCAAGUCGAACGAGGUCCAUGCAGUGGCAACACUGCGGAAGACCGAGUGGCGAACGGGUGAGUAACACGUGAGGAACCCACCCCGGAGACCGGGAUAACCCUCCGAAAGGAGAGCUAAUACCGGAUGUCCUCACCGGAUCGCAUGGUCUGGUGAGGAAAUGGAUUCCGCUCCGGGACGGCCUCGCGGCCUAUCAGCUUGUUGGUGAGGUAACGGCCCACCAAGGCAUAGACGGGUAGCUGGUCUGAGAGGACGGUCAGCCACACUGGGACUGAGACACGGCCCAGACUCCUACGGGAGGCAGCAGCGGGGAAUAUUGCGCAAUGGGCGAAAGCCUGACGCAGCAACGCCGCGUGAGGGAUGAAGGCUCUCGGGUUGUAAACCUCUUUCAGCAGGGACGAAAACAGACGGUACCUGCAGAAGAAGCCCCGGCCAACUACGUGCCAGCAGCCGCGGUAACACGUAGGGGGCGAGCGUUGUCCGGAUUUAUUGGGCGUAAAGAGCUCGUAGGCGGUUCGAUAAGUCGGGUGUGAAAACUCUGGGCUCAACUCAGAGACGCCACCCGAUACUGUUGUGACUUGAGUCCGGUAGGGGAGUAUGGAAUUCCCAGUGUAGCGGUGAAAUGCGCAGAUAUUUGGAGGAACACCAGUGGCGAA